UACGUAGGUGGCAAGCGUUGUCCGGAUUUAUUGGGUUUAAAGGGUGCGUAGGCGGUCUUUUAAGUCAGUGCUGAAAUAUCCCGGCUUAACCGGGAGGGUGGCAUUGAUACUGAAGGACUUGAGUUCAGUCGAGGUAGGCGGAAUUGACGGUGUAGCGGUGAAAUGCUUAGAUAUCGUCAAGAACACCGAUAGUGUAGACAGCUUACUAGGCUGAAACUGACGCUGAGGCACGAAAGUGUGGGGGAUCAAACAGG
rnacentral:rRNA from 1 species